CGCUAACGUGCGCCGGCUUCUCUCGUCAGGGCACGAUGAAAAGGCCGGUCAGAAAACAGAGCUGGCGUAAACACAGCCAGAAGAUCAAUGACAACCAGCUGCAGUCCGUGCUGCAGAGACGGCGCAGGAUGGUGGACUCUUCCACUCCCGCCCAGCCCUCGCCGCUGCGGGCCGAGCUCAGAAAAGAGGUGCAGAAUCAAGGUGACGGUGAAAUUUGCAAAGCUGUGUCCAGCCCAUGCUCUGAGGAGAAUGUAGCUGUCGUCCAGUUAAGAGCGAGAUCGGUGCACCUUCAGAAAAGCAGGCGACAGGCUCUCCUGAAUGAAGCAGAGGACAAGCCGGCACAGAGAGAGACGACCUGAAAACCAGCCAUCCUGUUGGACCACAAGACACUGCAUGGCUGCCUGGUCUCACACCCUGCCGAUGCUCCUUGCAGUACCUGCCCCACCUGUGUAUCUUUCAGGCACGCAAACAUUCAGAUCCUGAGCACAGCCUGAGGAUGCGGUUCUCCAGUCGAGCUUGUUAGCGCCAAGUGCAGCCAGAUGCACAGCCUGCUUGUUACGCAUACUAGCUUGCUCCACUUGCCUCGGUGGUUGCUGGGAGGUGCGGUCAGGAAUCUUAACACUGACAAGCUUCAUAUUGUGGUCCUAGAGUGGAUUUGUCAUUGGCCAGUGGAAUGUGGUUUUGUUGACAGUGGUUUGUAAAGAUCGUCCAUCCCUUCUCUUUCAAAGGCCAGACAUAAUUUCACACUCUUCCUGAGGACUGCUGGGCUGCAGAUAAAGAAGGCUGCAGCUUUCAAGCCCAUUCUUUUCUAACUGAGCUGCUCUGACAAGAAUAGAUCCAGCAGAACCCCGUCAGCUGCUGAGCUGAGCAUCUUGGGGGAUCUGAGUGUCCUUCUAAGAAGCCCCACAUUUGAAAUUUGAGCUCUGUACCUUUUAACUAGACAACCUGUUAGAGAAAGGGGCUAAAGAGACAGAAACUGAAUUUGGAUGUACUAAGUUCUGUGUCCACAUUUCAUCAACCAAGUAUCAAGUCUGAACUCCUCAAGGACUGUGACAGCCUUAACAUGGAGUCACAGACAGUCCCCUUGGGCACUCCGGUCUGUCUUGCCACCCAGGCAAGCCUGCCUUUGUGAUAGAAGGUCCCUUACACCAAAAAUCACAACGAUAUUCAGAUUACUCCCAGUCCAAAAGGACCAGUCACUUACUGCAGAUCAACUGCACCUCAGAUCUUAUGCUUGUAGCCAAUCCUAUAACGAAUUAAAGACGU